CGUCAACUACACGUCCCAGCUGACAGCUCUCCCCGGGCAGGCGGCCGCUUCUGUUGAGAGGCUGAGGAGCGACGCCCGCUUCUGUCGCUUGACAUCCGUGGAUGGACACAGCCGAGAUACAGGCUAAUAUACAGUAGGGCUGAAUUCACCACUGAUGUAACUGGACUGAAGCAGGACCAAGUAAACCUAGACCAUCCCUGACAGAUAAGCGACAACCAUCAGCCCCUGACAGUCUAGGAAGAAUUCACUGCCUACCACUCAUGUUCCAAAUGCCUAGAUUACAUACCCCAAGGACAAUUACCAACUAAUUCUAAAAGGAAGCAGAGGAUAACUUUGCCAUCCUUGAGCAACUGAAUGACCUCACUCAACACAAUGUGGACUUUAGCGAAUAGUAAGACUGUGCUGUUAGUGGGAGCCUUGGACCAAGUGAAGAUGGGCUUACUCUGGAAAACACCCACAGCCAGCCUUUCAGGAACAACAAUGAAGAAGCCGGAUGUGGCUGAUGGCCCAUCAGCAAAGACAAUGGUCUGUGGAAUAGCUUAACCUACCUGUGGGCAUUUUGCACAGCCUGUAAGCAAUGGCAGCUAUAACACUGCAAGGACAUGUGACCAGGCCACAUGAUUCUGGACUCCAUUUUGGGAUGUCAGUAUUUUCCAUAAACCAGUCUGGGAACCAAGUUUUGAAACAAAGGGUUCUUGCCAUAUGCUAAAGCUAUAUAAGGCAGAGAGUGACAUCAUCUAUUGUUCUUCACUCCCCACACAAGGAGACUCCUGGAAAUACCUGGGGAACAAAGACUGAACUGGUGGAAGUGUUGGACCCAGGCUAAAGGGAUUUUUAGCCUGUGUAUAAAAGACCUGGGGAUUCUAAGCUGUAAAGCAAGUGCAGCUUGCCCCUUAAAAAUCUGUAGCCUGCCUGUACCAUCAAUUAGGGUGAAAAUCUGCUAAUUCAUAUCCAAUCUAUCUAGUAUAUUAAGCUUAGCUUGUGUUUUUGUUUAUUUACUAGGUAAUCUGCUUUGAUCUGUUUGCUAUCACUUAUAAUCACUUA